AGGGCGUACGAAGGAUGCCUUGGCACUACCAGGCGAUGAAGGACGUGGUUACCUGCGAUAAUUCCCGGCGAGCUGGAAGCAAGCUUUGACCCGGAAAUUUGCGAAUGAGAAAACUCCAUACGGCAAAACCGUAUGAUCUCCGCAAGGAGAAGCUAAACUCAGGGAAUUGAAACAUCUUAGUACCUGAAGGAAAAGAAAGUAAAAACGAUUUCGUUAGUAGCGGCGAGCGAAUGCGAAAUUAGCCUAAACCGAUGUUAUGCCAAGCUUGAGGGCGUUGUGAUAUCGGUGUUGUAGGGCUGGCAUGGGUUCACCUCAAUGGACCUGCAAAGUUACCAAAUUGCCAUGUAGAAGAAGUGUUUGGGAAAACACGCCACAGCGGGUGAUAGCCCCGUAUUUUAAACAUGUGUGAUCUUUGAGCCAGUUCCUGAGUACCACGGAGUACGUGAAGUUCCGUGGGAAUCCGCGAAGACCAUUUCGCAAGGCUAAAUACUAGGUAGUGACCGAUAGUGAACAAGUACUGUGAAGGAAAGGUGAAAAGCACCGCGGGAGCGGAGUGAAAUAGAACCUGAAAUCGUACGCUUACAAGGUAUGGAAGCCCGUAAGGGUGACCGUGUGCCUUUUGUAGCAUGAGCCUGCGAGUUACUGUAUGCAGCAAGGUUAAGGGAUUGAAGUCCCGGAGCCGAAGCGAAAGCGAGUCUGAAUAGGGCGUUUUGAGUUGCAUGCUUUAGACCCGAAGUUGAGUGAUCUAGCCUUGGUCAGGAUGAAGUGGCGGUAACACGCCAUGGAGGUCCGAACUCGUGAAUGUUGAAAAAUUCUGAGAUGAACUGAGGCUGGGGGUGAAAGGCCAAUCAAACUCAGCGAUAGCUGGUUCUCCUCGAAAUGUAUUUAGGUACAGGGUCUGAUGUUUAGUUGUGGGGGUAGAGCGCUGUUUGGGCUAGGGGCCUUACCCGGUUACCAAACCCAGGCAAACUACGAAUACCAUAACGUUAGAGUCGAGCACUGAGUCAGUGGGUGAUAACGUUCAUUGGCGAGAGGGAGACAACCCGGAUCGACAGCUAAGGUUCCUAAAUCUACACUAAGUGAUAAAGGAUGUUCAAUCGCACAGACAAUUAGGAGGUUGGCUUAGAAGCAGCCACCCUUUAAAGAGUGCGUAAUAGCUCACUAAUCGAGCGAUUGGGCGCCGAAAAUGUACGGAUCUAAGUGUAGUACCGAAGCUUCGAGUGCGUAGCAAUACGCGCGGUAGAGGAGCGUUCCUACAGCGGCGAAGGUAUAGCGAGAGCAGUGCUGGAGCGGUAGGAAGUGAGAAUGCAGGCAUGAGUAGCGAAAAUGACGGUUAAAUUCCGUCACAUCGUAAGCCCAAGGGUUCCGCAGCAAGGUAACUCCGCUGCGGGUUAGCCGGUUCCUAAGGUGAGGCCGAAAGGCGUAACCGAUGGUAACCUGGUUUAUAUUCCAGGGCUUAGUUCAAGGCGCGAUGGGGUGACGCAAGAAGAUAGGGAAGCAGCCUGAUGGAUGGCUGUAUAAGGUCGUAGGCGUUGAGGUGGUCAGGUAAAUCCGGCCGCUGAGCUGAAAGCUGAUAUCGAGUGGGCCUUCGGGUUACACGAAGUUUCUGAUUCUAUGCUGCCUAGAAAAACCUCUAAGUUUACUUGAACUAAACCGUACCCGAAACCGACACAGGUGGGCGAGGAGAGAAUCCUCAGAUGCGCGAGAGAAACCUCGCUAAGGAACUCGGCAAAAUGACCCCGUAACUUCGGGAGAAGGGGUGCCCCAUUAUGGUGCAAGCCAGAAGGGGCCGCAGUGAAGAGUCCGCGGCGACUGUUUACCAAAAACACAGGUCUCUGCAAACACGUAAGUGGAUGUAUAGGGGCUGAUACCUGCCCGGUGCUGGAAGGUUAACAGGAGAUGUUAGAAGCAAUUCGAAGCAUUGAAUCGAAGCCCCAGUAAACGGCGGCCGUAACUAUGACGGUCCUAAGGUAGCGAAAUUCCUUGUCGGGUAAAUUCCGACCUGCACGAAUGGUGUAACGACUGUGGAACUGUCUCAACGAGGAUCUCGGCGAAAUUGUAGUGGCAGUGAAGAUGCUGCCUACCCGCAGUGGGACAGAAAGACCCCGUGAACCUUUACUGUAACUUGGCAUUGGUUUUCGGCUUUGUAUGUGUAGGAUAGGUGGGAGACUUUGAAGUUGCGGCGCCAGCCGUGAUGGAGUCGUCCUUGAAAUACCACCCUUACGAAAUUGAAAACCUAACCUGGCGUUACUUUUAAGUUUGAGCAACGGUGAUUGCAAAACAAUCACCUGCGCAAGAAUCAAGAUAACACUAGAGCCUUGGGUAAAUUCACAUCUUUCUUCCUGAUUAUAGGAUAAGAGUUAACGAGUAUAUUUAUUCAAGGCUCCAGAUUCGCUUCACCCCAAGAUUUUCGCAGAAAAUCUCCGGGUGAAGUUAUCAAACAUAAAAGCAACGCCAGGGACAAUGUCAGGCGGGCAGUUUGACUGGGGCGGUCGCCUCCCAAA
rnacentral:rRNA from 1 species